UGUUAUGUGGACUAGCCAGAACCUCCUCCGCAGCGCAUGGAAGAUGGUCUGGCAAAGCGAGACUAAUCAAAGAUUGACUAUUAAGCGCAAGAGGCGUAACUAAGUUUAGUUUUCGUUUUCCAGCAGGGAACUUUUGGUUUUUUGGUUGGGGUUUAGCUAGGAUUCUAAAUAGAACUGUUUUGGUGUUGAGAGAGAUUUGCUGCAGUAAGUUAAAUAUGUUGUGUGAUAUGAAAUAUGAUGAAAGCAAUAACAUUGUGUAGUUAUCCUCAUCGACUGUCUUCUAUCCUAUAUUCAAGAGAUUAUGCAGAAAAAAACUUAAUUGCUUGUCACUUCAGCUUUGCAAAAGAGGAUGGAAAGUCUAAAGUUACAGAAGUUAAAAGGCUAAAUGGGGGAUUUCUUUAUAAAUUCAGAUUAUUAUCAAUUAUUUCUACAGGUAAUGUUUAAUAUAAUACACGGUAGGGAAGGCAAAGACAUUUCUCUGUUCUCAGCUGACACAUUAAUGUUAACGUUGCAGUGUUUACCAUUGAACAUUAGUCUAGCAGCUAGCGGAGUUUCCUUCCUAGUUUAUAGCUUAAUCCUGACAAAACCACACGGUUAAUUUUCAGCCUGCAUUCACGUUUUGUAGCCUAAAACAGCGGCUUAAAUUGGUACAGAGAGCAACAAGUUAGCGGACUGCCAAGUGGCCCUUUCUGAUCUCUGCUCACUAUUUUAUUGACAAUAGAGCUUUCUGAACUGUCUUUGGAAUUGAUCAACGGAGAGGAGAGAAAGCAGCGCAACUGUAAAUGAAAGCAAUACACAGUAAAGACUCUCACAUUGAGCCGAAAUGUUAACACUGUUGUGCACAGGGCUUAGUAUUAGGCUUAGUAUUCCGGCACCGUGCCGGAUCUCCGGCGUACGGCCGUGAAAAAAAAAAAAAAAUAAAUUGGUAACUUGCAUGCGGUUUAUUUUCGAGUCAAUUGAUUUCACCUACCAAUCAUAUGAGAGGAACGCAGCUCUAACUAACGCCGGGCCUGGUGCCAGAUUUCUGGCGUAUGACUAUUUUAGAAAAAUAAAUUUAAAAAGUCCAAAUGGGAUCUGUUUUUGAUGCGCUGGAUUUAACCAAUCAUCGAACUUCCACCUACCAAUGAAACGAGUUCUAGCCAAUCAGAUGCAAAGUAGGGCGGUUCUUUGCCGAAAUGCAAGAGUGCGGUGUGGUCUCCGUGGUAAUGCGGCUAAAAAAAAUGGAGGCGAAGUUUAUCAAACUUGGGAGCAUGUAGAUACAGCUUUAGUUGAGAAAGGAGGUAAAAACAAAUGGCGCUGGGCAUGGAUAGAGGACAAGAGGGAAAGGGUGGAGACGGGAAGCCGUUUUAGCACUUGGUGCCUCAAAUUGAGGGAGCCGGGUGCUUCUGCAGCGCAUGUUCAAGGAAGAUACUGUACGGCAUCAGCGGUAAGAAAGCGCUUGCUAGU